GAUCCUGGCUCAGGACGAACGCUGGCGGCGCGCCUAACACAUGCAAGUCGAACGGAGUUUGUUGGAUUGAUCCUUCGGGUGAUUGAUAGCAAACUUAGUGGCGGACGGGUGAGUAACACGUGAGCAACCUGCCUUACAGAGGGGGAUAACGUUCUGAAAAGAACGCUAAUACCGCAUAACAUAUUGAGUGGGCAUCCACUUGAUAUCAAAGGAGCAAUCCGCUGUAAGAUGGG
rnacentral:rRNA from 1 species